CUACGGGAGGCUCCAGUGAGGAAUCUUGCGCAAUGGGGGAAACCCUGACGCAGCAACGCCGCGUGAGUGAGGAAGGUCUUCGGAUCGUAAAGCUCUGUCGGAUGGAAAGAAACGCAUGGAGGUUAAUAUCCUCUAUGCUUGACGGUACCAUCAGAGGAAGCACCGGCUAACUCCGUGCCAGCAGCCGCGGUAAUACGGGGGGUGCAAGCGUUGUUCGGAAUUAUUGGGCGUAAAGAGCGUGUAGGCGGCCUGAUGUGUCAGAUGUGAAAGCCCUGGGCUCAACCCAGGAAGUGCAUUUGAAACUGUCAGGCUUGAGUAAGGGAGAGGGAAGUGGAAUUCCUGGUGUAGAGGUGAAAUUCGUAGAUAUCAGGAGGAACACCGGUGGCGAAGGCGACUUCCUGGCCCUAUACUGACGCUGAGACGCGAGAGCGUGGGUAGCAAACAGGAUUAGAUACCCCAGUAGUC
rnacentral:rRNA from 1 species